rnacentral:misc_RNA from 1 species
GAUGAAGAACGUAGCGAAAUGCGAUAAGUAAUGUGGAUUGCAGAAUUCAGUGAAUCAUCGAAUCUUUGAACGCACAUUGCGCCCGCCAGUAUUCUGGCGGGCAUGCCUGUUCGAGCGUCAUUACAACCCUCAGGCCCCCGGGCCUGGCGUUGGGGAUCGGCGGAGCCCCCCGUGGGCACACGCCGUCCCCCAAAUGCAGUGGCGGUCCCGCCGCAGCUUCCAUCGCGUAGUAGCUAACACCUCGCGACUGGAGAGCGGCGCGGCCACGCCGUAAAACACCCAACUCUUCUGAAGUUGACCUCGAAUCAGGUAGGAAUACCCGCUGAACUUAAGCAUAUCAAUAAGCGGAGGA